AUUGAACGCUGGCGGCAGGCCUAACACAUGCAAGUCGAGCGGUAGAGAGAAGCUUGCUUCUCUUGAGAGCGGCGGACGGGUGAGUAAUGCCUAGGAAUCUGCCUGGUAGUGGGGGAUAACGUUCGGAAACGGACGCUAAUACCGCAUACGUCCUACGGGAGAAAGCAGGGGACCUUCGGGCCUUGCGCUAUCAGAUGAGCCUAGGUCGGAUUAGCUAGUUGGUGAGGUAAUGGCUCACCAAGGCGACGAUCCGUAACUGGCCUGAGAGGAUGAGCAGUCACACUGGAACUGAGACACGGUACAGACUCCUACGGGAGGCAGCAGUGGGGAAUAUUGGACAAUGGGCGAAAGCCUGAUCCAGCCAUGCCGCGUGUGUGAAGAAGGUCUUCGGAUUGUAAAGCACUUUAAGUUGGGAGGAAGGGUUGUAGAUUAAUACUCUGCAAUUUUGACGUUACCAACAGAAUAAGCACCGGCUAACUCUGUGCCAGCCGCCGCCGUAA
rnacentral:rRNA from 1 species